rnacentral:piRNA from 1 species
UAGACCAAAAUUUUCAUCUCGCCAACAUGCC